AGCUAGGUGGCUCAGUGGAUAGAGCCAGGCCUGGAGACAGGAGGUUCUGGGUUCAAACCCUACCUAGCUG
rnacentral:tRNA from 1 species